rnacentral:rRNA from 1 species
AGUGAACGCUGGCGGUAGGCCUAACACAUGCAAGUCGAACGGCAGCACAGGAGAGCUUGCUCUCUGGGUGGCGAGUGGCGGACGGGUGAGGAAUACAUCGGAAUCUACUUUGUCGUGGGGGAUAACGCAGGGAAACUUGCGCUAAUACCGCAUACGACCUACGGGUGAAAGCAGGGGAUCUUCGGACCUUGCGCGAUUGAAUGAGCCGAUGUCGGAUUAGCUAGUUGGCGGGGUAAAGGCCCACCAAGGCGACGAUCCGUAGCUGGUCUGAGAGGAUGAUCAGCCACACUGGAACUGAGACACGGUCCAGACUCCUACGGGAGGCAGCAGUGGGGAAUAUUGGACAAUGGGCGCAAGCCUGAUCCAGCCAGACCGCGUGGGUGAAGAAGGCCUUCGGGUUGUAAAGCCCUUGUGUUGGGAAAGAAAAGCAGCCGGUUAAUACCCGGUUGUUCUGACGGUACCCAAAGAAUAAGCACCGGCUAACUUCGUGCCAGCAGCCGCGGUAACAC